rnacentral:lncRNA from 1 species
GAAUUGAGGGGGGUGGGGGGAAGGCGGCUGAGUUCCUUCCCCCACCCUCCAGCCCUGAGACCUGAGAGGGGGAUUGAGCCUGAGAGAGAAGGAGAAGGAGUUUCUUCUUCUUCGAAAACCCCCAUCCACGACUCCUACCCCCUCACCCCUCCACUAGCCUCUCUCCCGAGCCCCCUCCAUCCUCCUCCUCUUUGGCCGUGAGAGGAGAGAAAGAGACCAAAAGCCUCUUAGCAACACAGACCCUUCUCUGCUGUUGCUGCUGCUGCUGCUACUGCUGCUGCUGCUUGGCCCUGGCUGGAGACAUCUCACUACACCCAGGAGCAGCCACUUCCCCAGCUCUCCUCCUCCUUCGCCUCCUCCUCCUCCUCCACUCCCCCCCCCCCCUUUAUUACCCUUUGUGUCAUCCUCCACAGCUCCAGGGAAGGCACUCAAAAGUGGGGGGCAGAAAAGAUGAAUAUUGAGGAUAUCAAUUUCUGCAUGUGGGAAGUAGAUAUUGAAGGUUAUCUGGUUUACAGACAAGAUCUUUAAAAAAUAGACACUGAAGGUAAGUAAUGACUAUAGCCUUAUAAAUAAUCUAAUUUAAAUGGUUAGGGUUGCCAGAUUAUAAUUUAACUUGCUAAACUUGCUUACUUUUUUGUCACUGGCCCUGACAACCGCAUUGAUUCAUAUUCAGACACAAACUGUUAUGCCUUAAUACCAUCUUGACAGAAAGUAUCAGAUUUCAUUUAUAAUGAGC